ACGAACGCUGGCGGCAUGCUUAACACAUGCAAGUCGAACGGUAACAGGCCCUUCGGGGUGCUGACGAGUGGCGGACGGGUGAGUAACGCUUAGGAAUCUACCUAGUAGUGGGGGAUAACCCGGGGAAACUCGGGCUAAUACCGCGUACGCCCUACGGGGGAAAGCGGGGGACUUUCGGGCCUCGCGCUAUUAGAUGAGCCUAAGUCCGAUUAGCUAGUUGGUAGGGUAAUGGCCUACCAAGGCGACGAUCGGUAGCUGGCUGAGAGGACGACCAGCCACACCGGAACUGAGACACGGUCCGGACUCCGUACGGAGGCAGCAGUGGGGAAUAUUGGACAAUGGGGGAAACCCCUGAUCCAGCGACGCCGCGUGUGUGAAGAAGGCCUGCGGGUUGUAAAGCACUUUCGGUGGGAACGAAA
rnacentral:rRNA from 1 species